rnacentral:rRNA from 1 species
GACAGCUAAUAGAUUCCACCUUUUUCGGGGUGGAAAUCUCUUCUUAGAGGGACUGGCGAUUAUUAGUCGCACGAGAUUGAGCAAUAACAGGUCUGUGAUGCCCUUAGAUGUUCUGGGCCGCACACGCGCUACACUGAAUGAGUCAGCUAGUUUCUCCCUUAUCGAGAGGUACGGGUAAACUGUUGAACUUCAUUCGUGGUAGGGAUCGGGGCUUGCAAUUAUUCCCCGUGAACCAGGAAUUCCCAGUAGGCGCAAGUCAUCAGCUUGCGUCGAUUACGUCCCUGCCCUUUGUACACACCGCCCGUCGCUACUACCGAUUGAACGUUAUAGUGAGGACCUCGGAUUGUUUGUUUUGCGUCUAACGCCGCUCAACUGACGAAAAGACGUCCAAACUGUUGCGUUUAGAGGAAGUAAAAGUCGUAACAAGG